CCCAGCUUGCUGGGUGGAUUAGUGGCGAACGGGUGAGUAAUACGUGAGUAACCUGCCCUUGACUCUGGGAUAAGCCUGGGAAACUGGGUCUAAUACUGGAUACUACCUCUCAUCGCAUGGUGGGGGGUGGAAAGGGUUUUACUGGUUUUGGAUGGGCUCACGGCCUAUCAGCUUGUUGGUGGGGUAAUGGCUCACCAAGGCGACGACGGGUAGCCGGCCUGAGAGGGUGACCGGCCACACUGGGACUGAGACACGGCCCAGACUCCUACGGGAGGCAGCAGUGGGGAAUAUUGCACAAUGGGCGAAAGCCUGAUGCAGCGACGCCGCGUGAGGGAUGACGGCCUUCGGGUUGUAAACCUCUUUCAGUAGGGAAGAAGCGCAAGUGACGGUACCUGCAGAAGAAGCGCCGGCUAACUACGUGCCAGCAGCCGCGGUAAUACGUAGGGCGCAAGCGUUGUCCGGAAUUAUUGGGCGUAAAGAGCUCGUAGGCGGUUUGUCGCGUCUGCUGUGAAAGCCCGGGGCUCAACCCCGGGUCUGCAGUGGGUACGGGCAGACUAGAGUGCAGUAGGGGAGACUGGAAUUCCUGGUGUAGCGGUGAAAUGCGCAGAUAUCAGGAGGAACACCGAUGGCGAAGGCAGGUCUCUGGGCUGUUACUGACGCUGAGGAGCGAAAGCAUGGGGAGCGAACAGGAUUAGAUACCCUGGUAGUC
rnacentral:rRNA from 1 species